AGGAUGAAAGGACUACAUAUCAUGAUAAACUGAACUAUGUCGAACAAGAACUAGCAGCAACAAAAGGGCGGGAGACUGCAUUGCAAGAACGGUUAUUGAAGGAGCUGGGCGAGUAUCAGGAGCGAUACCGACAGCAAGUCAGGAAGAUAGGGGAACUUGAGGUUAAACUCAAUAAAGAGAUUGAUUCUCGAAUUAGCGCCGAAUCAUCUUCAGCAUCUGCACAGGAGUCGGUCAAGGAGUUGGAACGGGCUAUGCAGCGGUCAUCUGAAAAUUCAGAAAGGGAGAAGAAAGCCCUUCAGAAGGAACUUUCAUAUAUGCAAGAUGACUCAAAACUAUCUAUCUCUAAACUUAAUGCUGAGCUUGAAAGAAUGAGCCUCAGGGCGCAAAACUCUGAGAAGGAAGCAAAGAUGUUAAAUGAGCAGUUGGAGGACUUGAAAAAGCAAUUAAAUGAGUGUCUUCGCGAAAAGAACGAAACCGAGCUCAGACUACUGGAUUCUGCUCCUUUGUCUGUUCAGCGUAAUCCAACAGAUGAUCAGAAGUUAAUAAAACUUUUGCAAGAGGAGCUCCGGAACUAUGAAAAAGAAGUGCACGAAGCUAGAAGAUUAAAAUCUUCCCACACAAAUGUUGAGCUGCUAAGUGAAAAGCUGUUGGAGGAGCAGAGUCGAAGGAAACGAGCCGAAACAGAACUAUCUAAGCUGCAAGAAAUUGAAGCUAAAGCACAGAAGUUGGAGCUGGAAUUAGCAUCAUGUACAUCAUUACUUGGCAACAUACCUGAUGUGUCUUCUUACAGCAACAUUGCAGAUUUGCAAAGGCAAGCAUUGACAGACUUGAAUAAAUUGGGUGAAGUAACAUCACGGUUGAAAGAAUUGGAGGUUACGUUGGAAUUUGCUGAGAUCAGCAAGCAACGUGCAGAAGGUGAAGCUACCCUUGCCAAAGAGAGAGCUGAAAGUGCUAGCAGGGAGGUCAAGCGGCUUGAACUUCUGCUUACUGCAGUGAGUGAAGAAAGAGAUAGAUUACGAAAAGAUCAUAAUAUGUUAUCUAACCAAAAAACUAGGGAUGGAGAUGACAUGUCAUCCAAGAAAAUGGAGUCAGAUCUAUCUCAAAUGGAAAAGGUAGUAAGAGAACUAGAGACCACUCUACACGAGCAGAGAGAACUAAUUAGUCAACAACAUGCGGAGCUCAAUCUAAUGAAUGAGAAAUUGAGCAUUGAAGCAAGAAAAGCAAAAUCAUUGGAGCGAGAGGGAGAUCAACUGCGCUCUCAGGUGGCAUUACUCGAGUCUAAGCUGGGUCAUGGGGAUUACUCUGCCUCAAGCACAAAAGUACUUCGUAUGGUGAAUACUCUUGCAAUGGAUAGUGAAGCAAAGCAGACAAUAGAAGCACUGCAAGCUGAGUUAAAGAAAACAAAAGAGAGGCUGCAGGCAAUCGAAGAACUAAAAGGGCAAGCUGAUGCUGGAACUGUAGUAGAUGCAAAUGUUGCUGAAAAGCUAGCACAGCUUAAAAAUCAAGUUGCCACACUAGAGAAACGUGAAGAAAGGUACAAGGCAGUGUUUCUGGAGAGGAUCUCAGUCUUCCGAAAGGCUUGCUGCUCGCUUUUUGGUUACCAGAUAGUGAUGAAUGAUGAGCAGCAGCCAAAUGGGAUUCAUGUAACACGAUUUACUCUGCAAUCAGUAUAUGCCCAAACUGAUGAUGAAAAACUCGAGUUUCUCUAUGAAUCAGGAAGCACCAAUAUAGUGGUCAAUGGCUACACUUCUCAACACGAGAUUGCUCAGCAGGUUGAUAUUUUCAUAAGAAAGAUGAAUUCCAUCCCAGCCUUCACUGCUAACCUGACAAUGGAAUCCUUCAACAAGAGAAGUAUAUGUUGAGGGCCAAAAUGAGUGAGAAAUCAUAUUCCUCUAUUAUGCUUGUAGGUAUGCUUCGAUCUAAAGAAUGUUUGUAGCAUACCCGUCAAAUUGCAAUGUAUUGGCGGUUAACAGAAGUGUGCGCACGAAUCCUAUCAGAUCAUCUUUUUGGGGGAGGGAUUACUUGCAGUCGUAUGUUGAAGGAUUCAUUCAAAUUCCAGCAGAUGAAGAAGUUGAGUGGAAGGCUGGUGCUGGUGGUAUGGUACUAUCAGAUGGAUGCCAUUUUGGUUCGAACAAUGUAAAUACGAGCGCAUACAAUGUAAUCCCUGUGAGUUUGGUGAACUAGCAACUUGAUAACAUCACAUCUUUUGUGUGGGGAAAAAAAGCAUCAAAUGUACCGUGCAGUUUUUUUUUUACCUAUGACAACGCAGGGCAGUCGGUAAAUUCAGUGAA